UUCUGGAGGCUUUUAAUUUUUCUUUUAAUUUGGCACAGUGCUUUAGUCUCUAUGGCCCUGAUAAAUAACGUAUUUAACUCUGCUUCUAAAAUCAUCUCUACUGGUGAAGUUACUUGUGUGUGUAAAACAAUUGCUUUCCUGCCUGGACUGAAUUUGUUAUGGUUACUUUGUAAAAGUAAUCAAUUACUGAUUACUGGUUCAAAAUUAAAUCAUGACUGAUCACUGAAAGAUAGGUAUGUGCUAGUUUUCUGAAACCUCAGCAGUCUAGCUUCUGUUGUGAUUUGGGCCUGUUUUGCAUGUUAAACCCUGUAGGUAUGGUGAAAAUUUCCAAAGUAUACCUAUUUUGAGAUAAAAUUCAUGUUGAAGCUGAAGUAGUCUUGCCUGAAAAAAAUACACAGAUAAUUUUGGAAAUUCCACACUCAUACCUGUGAUUUCCCAUCUGCGUGAAUAUGGAUUUGGUGUUUGCUCCCAUAUUUUAGUGGGUGAUUCCACAUAGUGUUGGAGGCUGCUGAAGUGGACCUGGCAGCUAAAAUCACAGGUAUGUCCCAAACUAGCUGUUAAAGAGCACCUCUAGUAUCUCUAGACUCCCUGCCACUGUUGCCCCUCUCCAAGGAUCUCCUCUGCUUGUCCUUGACAGACAUGAGCUUGGUCCCAGAAGAUCUGGCCUUCUCCUGCUUUAAUUCUUGUAGGAAAGCUCUGCCAGCCCUUUGCUUUUUGACCCUGUUUCCACACUUGCUUCCCUGCCUCCAAAAUCAGCUGUUGUGAGCUUGGCACACCUAAGUGUUUAAAAGAGGAACAGUGCUGUGUCCACGUUGGGUGUCAUUUGUUUUUGUUGCUUGCUCAUGAAUAAUUUUCUAUUUUGUGUUUCAAGUGUCACAACUGCCGUGGUAGUAUUACUUAUGGUAAAGACAGGCAAGGGAGAAAAGGAGAAGAGAAACUGAAAGGUGUCCACUUUGCAUUUUGCAUUGUACUGUAGAAGUUAGCCUGGCUCACACUGAUCGAAAGCAAUCCACUGUUAUUGCUGUAAGAGUCUCACUACCACUCUGUGAGGUAACAAUGACAUCCUGGGUUCUGGUGUCAGUGUGAAUGAAGGCAGGAAGCAGCAGCAAACUAAAACAUCAUCUUGAAUUAAGUGGACAAAUGCAGACGAAAACAGGUUACACUAGAAGAAUCAGUGAUCUAGAAGGUCAGAUGAAUCAGACUCUUAAAAGGAUGUACUUCUUCCCAUUGACUGCUGAGUGUGACCAGCUGAGAUGUAAAUAUCUACAUUGUAGUCCAGUCUGAAGUCAGAUGAGAUGAAUCCAGCCCAAGUCUAUCCUGCUACUGCUGCUGUCUGGACUCUUCCUUCUGUGUUCGGGGUGAGUCACAGAGAACAUCACUUAUCAAGAAUUCCAUCGAGAUGUGGGCAGCGCUGAGACAGCUCCCAGUGAAAUAAAGUCUAACUGAAGUAUAAACGCAGACAUUAGUUUUGGAUAAAUCUGUAAAAGCAAUUAAGUACUUUUCUGGAAUACAUGGCUGAAAUACUGAGAGCUCCCACCCAAAACACAAGGCAUAUGCAAGGCCAGUAAGGAAUCUAAGCUAUGUGGGUGAGCAGGUUUGGCAGAAAUCUGAAUGGAAGUGCAGAAGAGCAAUUCGUAUUUGAGAAGAUAUCUGUGUGUAAGAGACAGAAACAAUUGGAAGCUGUGCAGGAAAUACACGCAAGUAACACUCAGAUGUCAGAAUGAACAUAUACAGCAAAAUGUUGAGAAAGCUGAGACCCUCUGGUCUGGAUAUAGUAUUUGGAAUAAGUCUUGGAGAAAAACUAUGUCCUGCUGUUUGUUUUGUUCAGGGAGAGAGGGUUUUUAUAAAACAACCUUUUUAUAAAACAGAAUGAAAAAAAAAUACUUGUCUUCUGUGAUCACCUCAUGUCAUUUGCUUCUCCUCCCUCUGACAAAAAUAUCAUAGGGGUCCUUAUGCUGAUGAGAUUUAAGGCAGAAACUAUAAUUUGGCUUGAGGAUGUUCUAUCUUAAAAACAAAAACAAAACAAACAAACAAACCACCAUAAAAUAUCUUUCUUCUAUGUAUACUUUUUAUAUACAUAGUGGAAAGUUUCUGAGUAUAAGAAAAUGCAAGACCUAAGUCUGUAGGAAACUUACUACCCCAAAAGUAAGAUUGAAAAUGAAAGCUGUCAGGAGCUGCCAAAGUGUAAUAUUUUGGGGGGUACCAUAAAUCAGUUGAGACUUUAUAGAAUAACAUGAACUUUCCAUAAUACUACUCGGAGUAAUCGUUUUCAAAUAAUAAUAAUACAUCUGAAUCCACUUGGAAUACCAGUAACACUGAGUCACAAACCAAGUGCUACUUUGUAUUAGUGCUACUAACUGGCAAUAUGGAAAAGGCAAUCUAGCUGUUCGCUUUGGCAUAAAACCAGGCAUUUCUUAGGGAUGGUGAUGAAAUAUUCUAGCAUUCUUACAGUUCACUACAAAGUAUAGAAAUCAAGUAGUUUUUCUGAAGAAUUUUAAGGCCAUUCUUCAUCAAAAAGAAUCAUUGUUUGUUUGUUUAGUUUUCAAGUUCUUUAUGUUGGACAUUGUUGACUGAAUUCUUCCAGUGCAAGAUAGGAGCAGGGCAUAGAUUUCAUGCUAGAGCAUAUACAGUCACGUUAAGGAUUUUGAGAUUUUGGUGAAAAAAAAACUGGUAGGAAAACCUAUGAACAUUUUUUAACUUGAGAGGGUAUUUUUUCCUGUGUUUUGUUUGAAUCAAAGUAUGAUCAAACACACUUUACCUGAUGAUUCUGUAUUUUUAAUCUGCUUCAGUCUGAGUACUCGAGUGAAUUUGUUCUAAUAGUCACUAAGGGCAAUACAUAUUUAUUCUUAUGUUCCUUAGGGACGGUGCAAUUUGGGCUAUUUUACUAAUAUGUUACUGAUCACUUCAGAGAAGAUGCUUCCAUCACUGAUAUUGUCGUUUCAAUGAGAGGAUGUCUGAGGAGAAGAUGGUUUUGAACUUUGCUGUAUUUGGAAGCACAUUUGUAACAUUGUUCUUACGUGCUCUGUUCCACAUUGCAUUUGAAAGAACAGAACCGAUUAAGUUAUUCUUAAAAUGCAGAAGAUCGCUGGAAAAUUUGAACAUCUUAGUGUGCAGUGUAGUAUACUGGGACAAUCCAGAUGCCAUCUUCCAUUAAGAAGAAAAGUAUAUCUCAAAACAUGCUCAGUUUAACAACUAAUCUGAGAGGAUCGGAAGUAGACGUAUCUUUUUAAUGUAAUGUUUUCUUCCUUAAUCGUGUUUACAUAUUUAUACUUCAGUUCCAUCCAUGAAAAACAGCUUGGAAGCAUAGCUUAGAAAUUGGAAGUAUUUUGCUAGUUUGCAUUUUCUUACAUCUGUGCAUCAGAAUGGCCAUGUACUUCAGCUGGUAUAAAUCAGCAUGGCUUCAUUGGACUAAACUGAAUUAUAAGGUGAAUGAGAGAGUCUGUCUUUAAGUCAGCAGAAAAUAUUUUGCAUUUGCUUUAUUUUUACCUUCUAUUUAAAUUUUGUAUUUAAUUGUCUUUCUGUUUCUCUUUCACUGCCUAAUGCUGCUCAGUUUUUAAAGAGACACUCUCGCUCAGAAAUGAAUGCGACUAUUUAAGUAAAUAAAGACACAGCUGACGCUGUGUAGAUUCAGUGCUACUAAGCUACAGAGAGAUUUAAGUGAUUUGUGACACUAAGAACAUCCUGCGCCUUAUGUAAUUUUAUCACCAGAAGAAUUAAAUAAGGAGGGGCCUGUGCAUGGUAUCAGUUCUUGUGGGAAAAUAUGCUUCAGUGACUUACUGGCACUGGGUUUGGAAUGUGGCAUUUAAAAGUACCUUUUUACAGUGGGAAAGAAUUUGGUCAAGAAUAAACAGUCUGACCUUGUUAAAUGGACCAAAGUCUGUGUAUAACCCAGAUCCAGAAAGCUAGUUUUUACCAGUUUGUGAGAAAAAAAAUGAAGCAGUUAAUUAAAAAAUGCAACUUGGUUUUCUAGAAACAUAAUAAAGUAGAUGGAAAAGAGCCAAAAGAAUUGUCAUUGAACUGUGGACUUUUCCAGUUUGUGGGAAGUGAGCUGUGAGCUUUAAGCGUAUUUUGAACUGGAGUUCGAGAGGACAUUAAAAGGAAACAGCAUCAUACAUUGUGCCCAGAUGGAUUCAAGUCAAAUACAGGACUAGUGAAUGAUUUUCAAUGCGUAUCAAAUCCACUUAUAUUACCAUCAACAUCAGAAAAUGUAGAAUCCGUGAAUUUGCAGGAAAAUAAUUUAUCAUAUGAGCUGCGUUUUAAACACGAAGCCUGGUGUCUGCAGGCAUAGUCACUUGACUAGCAAAAAUCCUUUUGAUAUCAAUGAAGGCAAAAAAAAAAAA